AUUGAACGCUGGCGGCAUGCUUUACACAUGCAAGUCGAACGGUAACAGCACUUCGGUGGCUGACGAGUGGCGAACGGGUGAGUAAUACAUCGGAACGUGCCUAGUAGUGGGGGAUAACUACUCGAAAGAGUAGCUAAUACCGCAUGAGAUCUAAGGAUGAAAGCAGGGGACCUUCGGGCCUUGCGCUACUAGAGCGGCUGAUGGCAGAUUAGGUAGUUGGUGGGAUAAAAGCUUACCAAGCCGACGAUCUGUAGCUGGUCUGAGAGGACGACCAGCCACACUGGGACUGGGACACGGCCCAGACUCCUACGGGAGGCAGCAGUGGGGAAUUUUGGACAAUGGGCGCAAGCCUGAUCCAGCAAUGCCGCGUGCAGGAUGAAGGCCUUCGGGUUGUAAACUGCUUUUGUACGGAACGAAAAGCCCUCUUCUAAUACAGGAGGGUCAUGACGGUACCGUAAGAAUAAGCACCGGCUAACUACGUG
rnacentral:rRNA from 1 species